UACGUAGGGUGCGAGCGUUGUCCGGAAUUAUUGGGCGUAAAGGGCUCGUAGGCGGUUUGUCGCGUCGGGAGUGAAAACACGGGGCUUAACCCCGUGCCUGCUUCCGAUACGGGCAGACUAGAGGUAUGCAGGGGAGAACGGAAUUCCUGGUGUAGCGGUGAAAUGCGCAGAUAUCAGGAGGAACACCGGUGGCGAAGGCGGUUCUCUGGGCAUUACCUGACGCUGAGGAGCGAAAGUGUGGGGAG
rnacentral:rRNA from 1 species